rnacentral:rRNA from 1 species
CCGGCGCACGGUGAGUAACGCGUAUGCAACUUGCCUAUCAGGAGGGGAGAACCGGCGAAAGUCGGACUAAUACCGCAUGAAGCAGGGGCCCCGCAUGGGGAUAUUGGCUAAAGAUUCAUCGCUGAUAGAUAGGCAUGCGUUCCAUUAGGCAGUUGGCGGGGUAACGGCCCACCAAACCGACGAUGGAUAGGGGUUCUGAGAGGAAGGUCCCCCACAUUGGUACUGAGACACGGACCAA